rnacentral:rRNA from 1 species
AGUGAACGCUGGCGGUAGGCCUAACACAUGCAAGUCGAACGGCAGCACCGUAAGAGCUUGCUCUUACGGGUGGCGAGUGGCGGACGGGUGAGGAAUACAUCGGAAUCUACUUUUUCGUGGGGGAUAACGUAGGGAAACUUACGCUAAUACCGCAUACGACCUACGGGUGAAAGCAGGGGAUCUUCUGACCUUGCGCGAUUGAAUGAGCCGAUGUCGGAUUAGCUAGUUGGCGGGGUAAAGGCCCACCAAGGCGACGAUCGGUAGCUGGUCGGAGAGGAUGGUCGGCGACAUGGGAAGGGAGACAGCGUCCAGAGGCCUAAGGGAGGGAGCAGUGGGGAAUAGUGGACAAUGGGGGCAAGCAUGAUCCAGCCAUACCGCGUGGGUGAAGAAGGCGUUCGGGUUGGAAAGACCUUUUGUGGGGAAAGAAAAGCAGCAGGUUAAUACCCCGCUGGUCUGACGGUACCGAAAGAAUAAGCACCGGCUAACUUCGUG